rnacentral:lncRNA from 1 species
CUGUUGGAACAAAAUGUGUUUCACAAUGAACCUUAAUGAGUUUUGAUGAUAACAAGGUAUUAAAAAUUGUCAAUUGGUUAUUGCUAAUAAUUGUUCAAGUGUACAGGACCAAAGGCUAGUCAAGUAAUUUCAAUAGGUCUUGGAAGAACAAUGGAGAGCAAAAGAAUUCUAAGCAUCUGAAGAAAACUGCGUCUGAAGCUUAAAGUG